UGUCCCUCUGUCACCUCCCUGUCCCUGUGUCCCACCCCUGUCCUCGAACAGCCCCACCAGGUACGCCUCGCUGGCCUCCUGCACAGGUGAGACACAGGUGAGACACAGGUGAGACACAGGUGAGACAGGUGAGACACACUCGGGGUCAUCUGUCACCCCCCUGUGUCCUCGAACAGCCCCACCAGGUACGCCUCGCUGGCCUCCUGCACAGGUGAGACACAGGUGAGACACAGGUGUGACACACACAGGUGAGACAGGUGACAUCAAUGGCGGCGCUCUGGAAGCGCAGCUCUGCUUUGGGCUGUCACUGUCAGUACCCAGCUGUCCCCAGGUGUGUCCCAGCUGUCCCCAGGUGUGUGUCUCACCUGCCCAG